AGUAUCUAAGAUAAGUUGUUUGUAGCCGUCCUGGUUUUCGCAGUGCCAGGCACUCAACCGACGCUCGAUAAAUAUUUGUUGAAUGAAUGAGCAGUUGACUACUGCGUUCACCCCCUAGAGCUUUCGCUGACACCAAGAGAGCCGGAAGCCGGACUCCAAGGUAAACGUGAUCUCCUGUGGCCACGGUUCAUAGCCUUCAAAGAAGGAACAUUUGUCUUCUGGUAAAUAAAGAACUAAUGCGAAGGAGCCGGGCUCCUCAGAAGUAUCAAGUAGUUUCUUAGGGGAGCCUCUUAGCGAGAAUUAUGUAGCGAGUUCUGACUUGGAAAUCUUAUGUCCCCGAGAAACACCUGGACUCCUCCCCAGCUGAAGAGACUCAGACCCAGCUGAAGAAAUUCAGACAUUCAUGGUCCAGGGGAAAGCCCGCCCCAAAGACUUCCGUUUUUCAGCAGCCCAAAGAGCGUUCCUGCGGGGAAGCGGACGAGGCACAUCCGAAUCUUUCUUGUUCACUAGCUGCAUUGUUCAGACAGAGUCAAACGCAGGGGCUGCACAUUUGAACAGCCCUGAGCUGUUGGCGUCCUCUGAAACUCUCCUCCUGGAACUCACUUCCAUCUGGAGAGACCUCAAGAAUGAAGAUUGGAUCCGAGUCCCAGGGAGCCAAGCAAGACGUUCAGGACUUCCAAAAUACUCAAACUCCCCAUUGGUUUCAGCUAAGCAUUUUUAAAAGCCAGGUCUGACUUCAUACCUUCCUCAGCAAUUCUCCACAUGGACCAUUAGGAGCCUAAGUAUUUUGCACAAAAUUAUUUCAGUCACCUGUGUUUGAGAAAAUUGGAUGAGUGACAUUGUCUAACCACAGGUUUAUUUUAAAUUUAAUACACAUCAGAAUGUUAAUCCUCAUUCAACAUAACUGGAUUUCUACCAAAAUGACUUCAGCUGCCUCAGCCCCACCCCACCCCACCCCCACACAUCCUCCACCCUGCCUCCACCCCUAUCCCACCACCUCGAAUUGAAGGCUUUUUGCAAAACUUGAGGUUUGAAUUUGGACACUGGAUAUUUCAAGUGUGACAAUAAUUGCAAUAAGAGGGUUGGAGGAAAAUGGAAAAUUUUAAUUACAGUUUUCAGGAUGUUUAUUCUUUUUCCUCUGAAGACUGAAGUCCACCCACUUUGUUAUAUCAGAUGGUUAAAUCCCAAUUUGAAAGUCCAUUUAAAUCAUAAAAGCAGAGCUAUUCAAAGUCUUUUAUUAAAAUGUGGCUGAAAAUUAGAGAGUCAACUAGAUGGGUAAGUGGAAUAACAGCAGGAUUCCCAGAAAUACCCUUUUCUUUUUCCUCUGAUAUCUUUUCAGAGGAAACAUUAAGCAUAUUCCACAACCAGGGAUAUUCGAACUUCAAAA